rnacentral:lncRNA from 1 species
AUGACCAGGUCCCCAGGAGCAUCCUGUGGGGGGUGCUCCGGGAGUAUGGAAGGUCCCUUGAUAAGGGCCGCCCAGUCCCUGAACCAAAGGAGCAGGAGUUUGGUCCGGAUAGCCGGUUGUAAGUCGUACUCGUUCCCAGUGAGGGUUGGACUCCGCCAGGGCUGCCCUUUGUCACCGGUUCUGUUCAUAACUUUUAUGGACAGAAUUUCUAAGCGCAACCGGGGAGUGGAGGGUGUCGAGUUAGGUGGGCAGAAGAUCUCGUCGCUGCUUUUUGCGGAUGACGUAGUUCUUCUGGCGCCAUUGAACAGGGACUUCCAACAAAUGCUGGGACGGUUCGCGACCGAGUGUGAAGCGGCAGGGAUGCAAAUCAGCACCUCCAAGUCAGAGUCCAUGGUCCUCGCUCGGAAAAAGGUAGAGUGCCUUCUCCGGGUUGGGGAGGAGGUCCUGCCCCAGAUGGAGGAGUUCAAGUAUCUUGGGAUCUUGUUCACGAGUGAGGGUAGGAUGGAACGGGAGAUCGACAGGCGGAUCGGAGCGGCGUCAGCAGUGAUGCGGGCGCUUAACCGAUCCGUCUUGGUGAAGAGAGAGCUGAGCCGGAAGGCAAAGCUCUCGAUUUACCGGUCGAUCUACGUCCCAGUCCUCACCUAUGGCCGUCAACGUUGGGUGAUGACCGAAAGAACAAGAUCGCGGAUACAAGCGACUGAAAUGAGUUUCCUCCGCAGGGUGGCCGGGCUCAACCUUAGAGAUAGGGUGAGAAGCUCGGACAUCCAGGAGGAGCUCGGAGUAGAACCGCUGCUCCUUCACAUCGAGAGGAGUCAGUUGGGGUGGCUCGGGCAUCUGGCUAGGAUGCCUUCCGGACGCCUCCCUUUAGAGGUGUUCCGGACAUGUCUCACCGGGAGGCGGCCUCGUGGCCGGCCCAGGACCAGGUGGAGAGAUUACAUCUCUCGCCUGGCUUGGGAGCGGCUGGGGGCCCCCGGAGGAGCCGAUGGGUGGCCAGGGAGAGGGCUGUCUGGGCAUCCCUCCUGA